rnacentral:snRNA from 1 species
CACGGAAUCGAGAGCUCCAAG